GCUAUUUCAGGUGGCUCCUAUGUACAAAAGUCUGAGAGCACGAGGGGCACUGAUAUGGUCGCUCGCCUGAGUGGAUGCGCAAAUGAACAUUCAGGUUGGACCUGCGUGCAA
rnacentral:lncRNA from 1 species